GAUGAACGCUGGCGGCGCGCCUAACACAUGCAAGUCGAACGAGCGAAAGAGAGCUUGCUUUCUUGAGCGAGUGGCGAACGGGUGAGUAACGCGUGAGGAACCUGCCUCAAAGAGGGGGACAACAGUUGGAAACGACUGCUAAUACCGCAUAAGCCCACGACCCGGCAUCGGGUUGAGGGAAAAGGAGCAAUCCGCUUUGAGAUGGCCUCGCGUCCGAUUAGCUGGUUGGUGAGGUAACGGCCCACCAAGGCGACGAUCGGUAGCCGGACUGAGAGGUUGAACGGCCACAUUGGGACUGAGACACGGCCCAGACUCCUACGGGAGGCAGCAGUGGGGAAUAUUGCACAAUGGGGGAAACCCUGAUGCAGCGACGCCGCGUGGAGGAAGAAGGUCUUCGGAUUGUAAACUCCUGUUGUUGAGGGAGAUAAUGACGGUACUCAACAAGGAAGUGACGGCUAACUACGUGCCAGCAGCCGCGGUAAAACGUAGGUCACAAGCGUUGUCCGGAAUUACUGGGUGUAAAGGGAGCGCAGGCGGGAAGACAAGUUGGAAGUGAAAUCUAUGGGCUCAACCCAUAAACUGCUUUCAAAACUGUUUUUCUUGAGUAGUGCAGAGGUAGGCGGAAUUCCCGGUGUAGCGGUGGAAUGCGUAGAUAUCGGGAGGAACACCAGUGGCGAAGGCGGCCUACUGGGCACCAACUGACGCUGAGGCUCGAAAGUGUGGGUAGCAAACAGG
rnacentral:rRNA from 1 species